rnacentral:tRNA from 1 species
GCCCUCGUAGUGUAACUGAAAGCACGUUCAACUCGUAUUCGAGAGGACGGGAGUUCGAAUCCUUGCGAGAGCG